rnacentral:rRNA from 1 species
UACGUAGGGGGCAAGCGUUGUCCGGAAUCAUUGGGCGUAAAGCGCGUGUAGGCGGCUGAGUAAGUCUGCUCUGAAAGCCCGGGGCUCAACCCCGGGAGGCGGGUGGAUACUGCUCAGCUCGAGUCCGGAAGAGGAGUGUGGAAUUCCUGGUGUAGCGGUGAAAUGCGCAGAUAUCAGGAGGAACACCAAUGGCGAAGGCAGCACUCUGGGACGGUACUGACGCUGAGGCACGAAAGCGUGGGGAGCAAACAGG